UACGGGGGGGGCAAGCGUUGUUCGGAAUUACUGGGCGUAAAGGGCUCGUAGGCGGCCAACUAAGUCGGAUGUGAAAUCCCCAGGCUCAACUUGGGAAUUGCGCUUGUGACUGGCGAGCUGGAGUGUGGCAGAGGGAGGUGGAAUUCCACGUGUAGCAGUGAAAUGCGUAGAGAUGUGGAGGAACACCGAUGGCGAAGGCAGCCUCCUGGGCCAGCACUGACGCUCAUGCACGAAAGCGUGGGGAGCAAACAGG
rnacentral:rRNA from 1 species